rnacentral:rRNA from 1 species
AGAGUGAACGCUGGCGGUAGGCCUAACACAUGCAAGUCGAACGGCAGCACAGUGGUAGCAAUACCAUGGGUGGCGAGUGGCGGACGGGUGAGGAAUACAUCGGAAUCUACCUUUUCGUGGGAGAUAACGUAGGGAAACUUACGCUAAUACCGCAUACGCCCUUCGGGGGAAAGCCGGGGACCAGCAAUGGCCUGGUGCUGAUAGAUGAGCCGAUGUCGAUUAGCUAGUUGUGAGUAU